rnacentral:lncRNA from 1 species
ACUCCCAGGUGGCUGCAGACUGGAGUGUGUUUCAUGGACGAGCAACCUCCCUGAGGAGAACCCCGGAUACGCAGAGUCACCAGUAAAAUGAGCAUUCAUUCAUUAAGCCAAUCAUCAGGAAUGGAUCUAGGAAGAACCUACUGUUUACUAGAAAUAGGUUAGAUCUGUGGAUAUAACAAUGAAUAAGACAAGACUGGUGGAUCUAUAGAGAAACUAUUACUGCACAGGUGAUGGGGAAAUCAAGAGUACUAUGGGGCCAAGGAGACUGUCCUGCAGCAAAUGAGGAAUAAGCUGAAACAUCAGUAGGAGCCAUCCCAGAGAAAAGGGACAGGGUUCUAGAUCCAGAGAACAACAGAAGAGCAUUCAGCGCCUGCAAGGGAGCAGGGGAUCUAAUGCAAAGCCAUUGCAUAACCAGUCAACUUUCCCCACAUCACAAGAUUGCCUAGCCUGGAUGGCCCCAGAAUGUUGAAACAAAUGUCUAAUUAGUAACGACAUUCUGAAUGCUUGGGAGCUGAGCAAAAUAUGAGGAGAAGCAACCUGAUUUUUGUUUCAUAUUAUCAUCUCCUUUAUUCCAGCAACAAAAGACACUGAAAAUAGUAAAUGCCCACUUUCAACCAUGACAGCCCUUUUAGGAUAGUAACGGUGAGCAGUAUUAAUCCUAUUUGACCAGAACUAGGGCAGAAUUGAAGCCCCUGGAGUAGAGAUCUGUUCUAUUAGCCCCAGCCUUUCCGCCUGCUUCUUGGGAUGGCUAUCUUUACUUUAUCAGUUGAGCCUCCAGCAUUAGCAGAUACCUAUAAGGGAAGAGAUCCAGCCCUCACUAUGGAGGGCCAGAAAGAGAAAGCACCAGACAUUAGGAAAUGUCAAAGUAUCUCAGUACAUCCAGCUGAUUAGUGACAGAUAAGUCAAAAUUUGCAGCAACUAAAUAAAUCAAAAAGUAGAUUUUAAAAUGUGAUCUUUGAAAUAUUUGGCACAAUGCUUCAAAGCCACUGAAAAGCUAUCUCUUCACCCUAAUAGAGGACAGAAAUUCAUUAGAUAGACAGAAGAGGCUGCAUACAGUAGCCCAUGCCCAUAAUCUCAACAACUUUGGAGGCCAAGGUGGAAAGAUUACUUGAGGCCAGGAAAUCAACACCAGCCUGAGCAACAUAGCAAGACAUCUUUACAAAAAAUUUAAAAAUUAGCCAGGUUUGGUGGUGUGCAGCUGUAGUCCUAGCUACUCGGGAGGCUGAGGUGGGAGGAUUGCUUGAGGCCAGGAGUUCUAGGCUGCAGUGAACAGAGAUUUUGCCACUGCGUUCCAGCCUGGGCAACAGAGUAAGACCCUGUCUCUAAAAUAGAUGAUAGAUAGAUAGAGAGAGAGAGAGAGAUGAUAGAUAAUAGAUAGUUGAUAGAUAGAUGAUAGAUAAUAGAUAGUUGAUAGAUAGAUAAUAGAUCGUUGAUUGAUAGAUUAGAUAGAUGUAUAAUAGAACCCAAAGGCAAAAAUAAGUUAGUCCUCAGGAAGACCCAGAUCGCAGACCUGAAAAGCCAGGAGGAACUCAAUGGAAUUUUUUUCCAUAGCAGGUGCUCUCUCUACACCUGUGCUCUAUUCUCCUAUUCUGAUAACCAGCCCCUGGCUCCUAUGUCCCAGUGUCAGAGAAAUGAUGUUCCAGAGCUGCACCCACAAGGACUAAAUCACCUGCCUAACCCUAACCCUAAUCAUAGAUGAUGGGGGCUGCAGGGGACCAGUAUGGCUGCCAGGGCCCAUCCCUGUUUAUGAGCAGAGGUUUCCCAGAGAAGACACACUGGGCAGAUUACCAGACACGCAUUCAUUGCACCCCUGACAUUUUCAAUCGCCAGUCAAUGAGGCUUCCUUUCUAGUUACUGAAAGUCUUCACCUGCUGUUUAUAGUAAACUGGAGACCUAGAGGCCAAGGCCGAAGGCUUGGAUGGUAAUUUCCCACAUUCUCUGGAAAUCUUUCUACUUCAGUUGGCUUCCAGACACCCAGUACCCUUGUGUGUUCCAGUUUCAAGUUGCCAUUCUUGUUCAGGUCUUCUAGUAAUUUCCUGUUUCCCUAUCUGAAGUGUACCUCCUGACAUCAAUGUAUUCAAAGAGCAAAUGCUCCUGCCAAAUCUAUGAGUGUCAGUGAACUAGCCUGCUGCUCUGGGCUCAGAUGAGACCAGCUUGCAGAACAAGCAGGACAGAGGCGUGAAGGGAAGCAGAUGGCAAACCUCGAUCUGCCACCAUCCCUUCCACAGGCAUUCCGUAUGAGGACAUCUGUCCCCAC